CUCAUCGUGGCCGAGAUCGUUCUGGGGCUGCUGGGCCUGUGCUUUAACGGCAGUGCCUUCGUCUUGUACCUCUCUGCCGCUGUUGUAGAUGCAUCUUCCGUCUCCCCUGAGAGGGACAGUCACAACUUCAACAGCUGGGCGGCCUCAUCGUUCUUUGCCUUCCUGGUCACCAUCUGCUACGCUGGAAAUACAUAUUUCAGUUUUAUAGCAUGGAGAUCCAGGACCAUACAGUGAUUUACCAUUUUGAUAAUUAAAAGGAAAAAAAAAGGAAGACUCUCACUGUAAAAACAGCUGUAGGUAUAAUGUAUAUUCCCAGAGAAUUGUAUUUAACUAAUUAAUGUUUUUUAUAUUCUUAAAUUUGCUCACAAAUUGUGGUUUGUUACAAUUAAACUGGAUACUUAUUUGCAAAGUGUUGUAGCUUAUAAUGAACUCUUAAGUAUCUUAUUAAUGUAUUAAUGUCUUCAUAGAUCAUAUUUUCUUAGACAAUGUUUAAAUAGAUAAAUUGCUAAUAUUGAGAAUGUGUCAAGUUUGUAAACCUAACUUUUAAG
rnacentral:lncRNA from 1 species